rnacentral:tRNA from 1 species
GCGGGCGUGGUGGAAUGGCAGACACGUCGGUCUUAGGAGCCGAUGCUUCACGCGUGCAAGUUCAAGUCUUGUCGCCCGCACCA